rnacentral:rRNA from 1 species
GCAAGUCGAGCGGGCGUAGCAAUACGUCAGCGGCAGACGGGUGAGUAACGCGUGGGAACGUACCUUUUGGUUCGGAGCAACACAGGGAAACUUGUGCUAAUACCGGAUAAGCCCUUACGGGGAAAGAUUUAUCGCCGAAAGAUCGGCCCGCGUCUGAUUAGCUAGUUGGUAGGGUAACGGCCUACCAAGGCGACGAUCAGUAGCUGGUCUGAGAGGAUGAUCAGCCACAUUGGGACUGAGACACGGCCCAAACUCCUACGGGAGGCAGCAGUGGGGAAUAUUGGACAAUGGGGGCAACCCUGAUCCAGCCAUGCCGCGUGAGUGAUGAAGGCCCUAGGGUUGUAAAGCUCUUUUGUGCGGGAAGAUAAUGACGGUACCGCAAGAAUAAGCCCCGGCUAACUUCGUGCCAGCAGCCGCGGUAAUACGAAGGGGGCUAGCGUUGCUCGGAAUCACUGGGCGUAAAGGGUGCGUAGGCGGGUCUUUAAGUCAGGGGUGAAAUCCUGGAGCUCAACUCCAGAACUGCCUUUGAUACUGAAGAUCUUGAGUUCGGGAGAGGUGAGUGGAACUGCGAGUGUAGAGGUGAAAUUCGUAGAUAUUCGCAAGAACACCAGUGGCGAAGGCGGCUCACUG